GCGCCCGUAGCUCAGUGGAUAGAGCGUCUGCCUCCGGAGCAGAAGGCCGUGGGUUCGAGUCCCGCCGGGCGCGCCA
rnacentral:tRNA from 1 species